GUAGGGAGCAGAUAAAAGUUAACAGCUCAAGCCUGGAAAGCCUGUGCCCCCUCCGGGGCACGUGGGUUCAAAUCCCACUCCCGGCG
rnacentral:tRNA from 1 species